CCACCUCAAGGGUAAGACCCCAGAAAGACUAUCUGGUUGAUAGGUCGAAGGUGUAAGUGCAGCAAUGUAUUUAGCUUAUCGAUACUAAUAGGUCGAGGACUUGACCAAUAUUUAUU
rnacentral:rRNA from 1 species